rnacentral:tRNA from 1 species
AUGCUGAGAGUAUUCUUUAGUACAAUUGCCUUCCAAGCACAUAAGUCCUUUAAGGUCAGCAUA